rnacentral:rRNA from 1 species
GAUGAGCGCUGGCGGCGUGCCUAAUACAUGCAAGUCGAGCGAACGGACGAGAAGCUUGCUUCUCUGAUGUUAGCGGCGGACGGGUGAGUAACACGUGGAUAACCUACCUAUAAGACUGGGAUAACUUCGGGAAACCGGAGCUAAUACCGGAUAAUAUUUUGCACCGCAUUGUUCAAAAGUGAAAGACGGUCUUGCUGUCACUUAUAGAUUGAUCCGCGCUGCAUUAGCUAGUUGGUAAGGUAACGGCUUACCAAGGCAACGAUGCAUAGCCGACCUGAGAGGGUGAUCGGCCACACUGGAACUGAGACACGGUCCAGACUCCUACGGGAGGCAGCAGUAGGGAAUCUUCCGCAAUGGGCGAAAGCCUGACGGAGCAACGCCGCGUGAGUGAUGAAGGUCUUCGGAUCGUAAAACUCUGUUAUUAGGGAAGAACAUAUGUGUAAGUAACUGUGCACAUCUUGACGGUACCUAAUCAGAAAGCCACGGCUAACUACGUG